rnacentral:rRNA from 1 species
GACGAACGCUGGCGGCGCGCCUAAUACAUGCAAGUUGAGCGCUGAAGGUUGGUACUUGUACCAACUGGAUGAGCAGCGAACGGGUGAGUAACGCGUGGGGAAUCUGCCUUUGAGCGGGGGACAACAUUUGGAAACGAAUGCUAAUACCGCAUAAAAACUUUAAACACAAGUUUUAAGUUUGAAAGAUGCAAUUGCAUCACUCAAAGAUGAUCCCGCGUUGUAUUAGCUAGUUGGUGAGGUAAAGGCUCACCAAGGCGAUGAUACAUAGCCGACCUGAGAGGGUGAUCGGCCACAUUGGGACUGAGACACGGCCCAAACUCCUACGGGAGGCAGCAGUAGGGAAUCGUCGGCAAUGGACGAAAGUCUGACCGAGCAACGCCGAGUGAGUGAAGAAGGUUUUCGGAUCGUAAAACUCUGUUGGUAGAGAAGAACGUUGGUGAGAGUGGAAAGCUCAUCAAGUGACGGUAACUACCCAGAAAGGGACGGCUAACUACGUG